GGCGAUUAUAACUCAGUUGGUAGAGUGUUUCUUUGUGGCAGAAAUUUGCAUGGGUUCGAGUCCCAUUAAUCGCCC
rnacentral:tRNA from 1 species